CAGUCGCCGCGGGAAAACGGAGGGGGCUAGCGUUGUUCGGAAUUACUGGGCGUAAAGCGCACGUAGGCGGCUUUGUAAGUUAGAGGUGAAAGCCCGGAGCUCAACUCCGGAAUUGCCUUUAAGACUGCAGAGCUAGCAGGUGAGAGAGGUGAGUGGAAUUCCGAGUGUAGAGGUGAAAUUCGUAGAUAUUCGGAAGAACACCAGUGGCGAAGGCGGCUCACUGGCUCAUACUGGACGCUGAGGUGCGAAAGCGUGGGGAGCAAACAGGAUUAGAUACCCCCGUAGUCCCUGUCUCUUAUAC
rnacentral:rRNA from 1 species